CAGCAGCCGCGGUAAUACAGAGGGUGCGAGCGUUAAUCGGAUUUACUGGGCGUAAAGCGUGCGUAGGCGGCUUUUUAAGUCGGAUGUGAAAUCCCUGGGCUUAACUUAGGAAUUGCAUUCGAUACUGGGAAGCUAGAGUAUGGGAGAGGAUGGUAGAAUUCCAGGUGUAGCGGUGAAAUGCGUAGAGAUCUGGAGGAAUACCGAUGGCGAAGGCAGCCAUCUGGCCUAAUACUGACGCUGAGGUACGAAAGCAUGGGGAGCAAACAGGAUUAGAUACCCCGGUAGUCCCUGUCUCUUAUAC
rnacentral:rRNA from 1 species